rnacentral:rRNA from 1 species
AUGAACGCUGGCGGCGUGCCUAAUACAUGCCAGUCGAACGAAACUUCUUUAUCACCGAGUGCUUGCACUCACCGAUAAAGAGUUGAGUGGCGAACGGGUGAGUAACACGUGGGCAACCUGCCCAAAAGAGGGGGAUAACACUUGGAAACAGGUGCUAAUACCGCAUAACCAUAGUUACCGCAUGGUAACUAUGUAAAAGGUGGCUAUACUACCGCUUUUGGAUGGGCCCGCGGCGCAUUAGCUAGUUGGUAGGGUAAAGGCUUACCAAGGCAAUGAUGCGUAGCCGAAUUGAGAGGUUGAUCGGCCACAUUGGGACUGAGACACGGCCCAAACUCCUACGGGAGGCAGCAGUAGGGAAUCUUCCACAAUGGGCGAAAGCCUGAUGGAGCAACGCCGCGUGGGUGAAGAAGGUCUUCGGAUCGUAAAACCCUGUUGUUAGAGAAGAAAGUGCGUGAGAGUAACUGUUCACGUUUCGACGGUAUCUAACCAGAAAGCCACUGCUAACUACGUG